GUCGUUGCUUGGCCCUUUGUUCGAUGUCUCCCGGGAUCCUGUAGGCCUCUAAAACUACCAAAGAGAAUCAAUUCUGUGUAUUGGUACUUUCGGCCUUGCUUUUGGUAGUGGAGUCCCCGGUUUUUAGUUCCAUUCCACUCAUACUGGGGAGUUAGUUGGUUCUAUUACCUAUUAGUUGUUCUCUGAUUCUUUGGACUUAUAUUCUAUAUGCGCUAUAGCGUACCCGUAUUGUAUUCUAUUUUCCUAUUAGUAGAUGCGCUAGCCUCAUACUACCACGAUGAGUCUUGGUGUUUUAUAUUGGGCUAAUAUGGACUUGACCACGGGCGAUCCAUCCUUAUAUCCAUUAAGUGCAUUCUGUCUCAUCUGAUUGGAGGGGCGUAAGAGCCAAACUCCAACUACAGGAAUUAGGGCUGGGGCAGUCGUUCUAUACUUAAAGCUCGGAGGAGCAGUUUGAAGCUAAUCCCUAGGCGUGUGGUGGAGAUAGGUCCGGUUUCUGGUGAUGGUAGUAAGGCUCCUAGGCAAUAAAGUCAGAAUCCAAGUGAGUAGCUCAUUUCUGAUUGGCACUAUUUGCAUUCCUUCUAUGAGUAUUUAUAGUCUAUAGUGCUGUUGUUCGAGUCUUGUUAUCCAUAGUUUUCUUCUCUGUUAUGAGGGCUUGGCUGAUACCCCGUAAAGUCAGAACGAAACUAUCAGUACAAAGUGGAAAGUAAGCCAGGGUAGGCUAGGAUAAAGGAGUCGCAGCCUUUUCGGCAGUGGGAGAAGACAUAUACGAGGACAGGACUUGGUACUAUUGCUGCUACUAAGAAAGGGGAGCUCAAUCCUAAUUCCCAUUAGUAGUAGAGUGAAGUAGUAUCACCUAUGUGUGUAGUAUCGGGUGCCAGUCCAGUAGUCGUGUCGUGGCUGUAGCCUGAGUGAGAUUAGAUGAGAGCCAUAGCAGAGGUAUAGUAGCCGGACCGAUAAGUCCACUCAAUUCUUAUUGUCUGCCUCUCUCUCCUCUGGCUCUUGUACUGUUGCUUGGUCAUUAGUGGUUGCUUGGUGGACUUGCUAAUGGCAUCGGACUAACGCUUACUUCGGGGUGCCUAUAUUCUUUUGAACUCCAGUCUAUUCUUUUGACUUUCCUGGCAUGGUUAGUCCCCUGAAGUGGAAUUCUGAAACUAGACUUCUCUCGCACAGAUCCCACUCAAGAUCCUAAUACGACUCCUGAUCAAGGUACUGAUCUAGUUCAUUCUCCUACUCCAGAUGAUGCUUCAGAUGCUGAUCCAACUCCAUAUCCUGAUGAAACAGACACCUUUGCAGCGUACCCGGCUGAUGAUCCUGCUUUCAUAACUGCUACAUCGUACCCAUCUAGUAGAUAAAGUGUGAAGUAAACUCUAUUCUGAUUUUCUUAUUAUUAAAGAAGUCACCCACUACUCUAGACUGUUCUAGGAAGAAUCAAUUCCAUGCUUUUCAGCGGGAAGUAGAGGAACAAACAGUAGAAAGGGAGCUGCAAGUAGCUUUGUAGUAGAAAGGAGGUAAUCUGCAAGCAACGAAGCUGGAAGGAAAGAAAGUGGAGUUCCCCUUUUUAAUGCUUUGGUGCAAGCGAGUCUUCAAGUAAAGUCAUAAUUGAACAAGUAAGUAAAAGAAUGAAACCUCCAAGUGAGAAUUGAAGAAUGGAGUUUCACUAACUAAGUUCACUUGGCUCGUUUUGUUGUUUGUCGAUUCAGAAAGUGUUGUUACGCGCAGUAAUGGGUAAGUCCAGAGAACGAAGGUCCUUUGAAAGGAAAGGUGAGCUCAAUACCGAUAGUAGAAAAGCAUUAGCGGUGCAAGAGCAAGCGCAGUAAGCAGAUAGAGCAAAGCAAAGAGAAGUUCCAGUUUUCACAGUUAAGUCGGUGAAGAACAAAAACCAAGUAUUGUUUCUUGGAGCAGAAUCUAGUACAUCUUCAGCGUUAGCAUAAAGUAAGGGAUAGGGCAUACUAUCUUACGAGCGAGGUAUCUUCCACAGGCAAGCUUAUACUAAAUCCUUAGAGCAAUAUAGUUGUUAUAGGCCUAAGCAAAGUGAUAGCCAUGUUUUAUAGGCAAAGGGUUCAACCUCUUCUUCCAGAGUAGCAAACACAGAUGAAACUCUCACUUGACCUGGACUACCGGGCAAUUCAAUUAGUAGGCGUCAAUGAACUAUAACAGCUGAACUCCCCUACCGCGCAACUAGUUCACUUUAGCGACCCAAUGACUUUAAGGGCACAGGUUCACUUAUGGGAAAUCCAUCAUUGAAACCCUUCAACUGUCCAACAAAUGCAAUGAAAGCAGAGAGAAAAAGGCCCUGAGAAAGCAGAGAGAAAGGCCCUGACCACGAUGAGGAAUGAAUAGCACUUUACUAAACAUAUAGGGGGCAAUCAAAGCAGAGAGAAAGCCCCAGGCAGUGUUGCACUUCAAAGAAGGAACCUACCAUCCAGAGCAGAGAUCAGCUCUCUCACCAAGAUACAAACCCAUUGGAUGUUAGCCCUAUCGGAUCUGGGAUCUUGUCAACUUUCUCGUAUACUAGCGAGCAGGGCCAGACUCUUUUUCUCACUUGUACGUAGCGGCGUUCUACACAAGUAUUGGUAUUUCCCACAGUGCAUAUAAUCAUUGUUUACUAUAGAUUCAAAUACAAACCUCAUGCUGAUAUCAUUGGUUCUUACUGGUUGUUUAACCCCUAAGCAUAACUAGCCAAUGCAUCUCAAAGCGACUCUGGCUCUAGUCUAGCUUAUCUAUAAAGGACGUAUGCAAAAGUGUCUCAAAGUCAAUAAUCUGAAAGGGCUAAGGUUGAUAAAAGUCCAGAUUUGUUUGCGCUGGAAUCCAAAUAACGGGAAUCCUAUCCGUUGCUAGGUUAGACUUAUAGACUAUUGUACUUCCUGCCUUUGUUUUCUCACGAGCUGGAUUUGAAGCAUCCCUUCUUUCUUGAUUCUGAACUCAUGUACCAACAAUCGUGAUUUCUCUUUUUCCGGUUCCCCGAAAUGAGAAAAGAAAGAGGCCCUUCUAGUAAGUUA
rnacentral:lncRNA from 1 species